GCUGGUGUGGAACGGGGAGCCACUCUGAGUUCACUCGGAAUAUUUGAUGCGAGUGAACACAGCUGGUGGUAUCUCAGUUGCAUGUCAGACA
rfam:Zootermopsis nevadensis contig6467, whole genome shotgun sequence.